AGAGUUUGAUCCUGGCUCAGGACGAACGCUGGCGGCGUGCCUAACACAUGCAAGUCGAGCGAGAGACUUCGGUCUCUAGCGGCGGACGGGUGAGUAACACGUGGGUAACCUGCCUCAUAAUGGGGGGAUAGCCUCCCGAAAGGGAGAUUAAUACCGCAUAACAUCAAGUUGUCGCAUGACAGUUUGAUCAAAGGAGUAAUCCGAUAUGAGAUGGGCCCGCGGCGCAUUAGCUAGUUGGUGAGGUAAAGGCUCACCAAGGCCACGAUGCGUAGCCGACCUGAGAGGGUGAUCGGCCACAUUGGAACUGAGACACGGUCCAGACUCCUACGGGAGGCAGCAGUGGGGAAUAUUGCACAAUGGGCGAAAGCCUGAUGCAGCAACGCCGCGUGAGUGAUGAAGGCCUUCGGGUUGUAAAGCUCUGUCUUCUGGGACGAUUAUGACGGUACCAGAGGAGGAAGCCACGGCUAACUACGUGCCAGCAGCCGCGGUAAUACGUAGGUGGCAAGCGUUGUCCGGAUUUACUGGGCGUAAAGGAUGCGUAGGCGGAUAUUUAAGUGGGAUGUGAAAUACCCGGGCUCAACUUGGGUGCUGCAUUCCAAACUGGAUAUCUAGAGUGCAGGAGAGGAAAGUGGAAUUCCUAGUGUAGCGGUGAAAUGCGUAGAGAUUAGGAAGAACAUCAGUGGCGAAGGCGACUUUCUGGACUGUAACUGACGCUGAGGCAUGAAAGCGUGGGGAGCAAACAGGAUUAGAUACCCUAGUAGUCC
rnacentral:rRNA from 1 species